CUUUCUUAUGAUCAGGGACUGAAAUAGAUACGAAGAAAAUCUUAAAGGAAAUUUUAAACUGUUUUAAUAUUGUUGUUUCUCUGAAAGGUGAAAUGAAUAAUAGGAAAAAAAGAAUAACACAGUGAGUGCAUGUAAUCCAGGAUGGUGAAAGUGACCUACUGAUGGACAGAUCUGCAGCAGAGAUACUGGCCCUUGCUGUCAGUGGAUCUCUGCUAUGUGUGGGUGUGGAGGAUUGGUGCAGUCAGUUCUAUUGCCAGCUUAACCACAGGUGACCUGCGUGAUCUUGAGUAACUUAUUUGACUCCUUUGUAUAUGAGAGCAAUGUGUGAUAUUUUAUAGCUGAGAAACUACCGUAUGUUUUCUGCUUAGGUCAAACUUCAUUCUUAAUCAAGAGAAGCCUUGCCUGAGGAUUCCACUUAGCAAGAACUAAUCGAAGUUAUAUUUUUUUUCCUCCCUCAUGUAAACAGAAAAGAGCAAGCAUUUAACCUGAAAGAAGUUGGGUUUGACAAACCAAUUAUUCUACAGCAUUAUGGUGAUUACAGAGGAGAAACUUUCCCCAGGACAUGGAAGGUUCAGGCUGGCAGGACUGUCACAUCAAAGCUGCCAUAUGACAAACCUCAGAUUCCAGUGGUCAAGAGAGCAAACACAGCACAGAGAAAACUGCACUACAGACUGAAUGAUGGCUCAUCCUUCAUUUAUCUCAUUUUAGCUAUCCAUCUGAAUAUCUUGCG
ensembl:lncRNA